AGGAAAACACCUUUUAAGGUGGUUCCCAUCGAGGUGCGUGCCGGUGGUCCUUUGAUGAACGUGCGAACAGUCACACUAAUACUGGAGCAGGGAUCGAAAGGGCCGCAGGUGACUUGAGUCUCCUCAGCACGAAUAAUGGUGCCGUUGCCACAAGAGCCCACAUUAUGUUUCUCAAGACUAUCCUUUUCAUUAUCGUUUUCGUUGGUGACAUCGAGCCAGUAGAAGUCAAAAGUGCCCCGCGGUGCAUCCCAGGCCACGGUGAUGUAGUGAUUAUCAGCCGCCUUUAGGUCGAGAUUCGUGACGUCAGGGUAGAACUGCAAAGGUGUCCGGAUUUCAGCUACCGCUGCCCGACCAUUUAGAACUUGCUCGCCGCAUUGUGAGUUCGUUGUGACCAGGACGCAGUACUUGGUGUCAACACGGCUGUGAAAGUCCAGCCAGGUCUCAUGUGCUUGAAGUUCGAUGCAGCCGCGCAUAUUUGCUUCUCCACUGCAAGAUUUGAACGUGUCGCAUAUUUUAACAGUGUAUGCAAGCAAUCUUCCGUUGACUUUU